GUGUGGCAACCAGGAAGACAGCCUUUAUCAGAAUCCAGCCAUAUUGGUGCCCUGAUCUCAGACUUUCCAGCCUCCAGAACUGGUUCACAAUCUAAUGGGAAAACUAAAUUAUCAUAAAGAUAGCAUUACAAAUGCAGUGCUUGACAUAUGCCUGGAGCACUAUGAGACUGUAGGUGAGAAGCAACGAAAAGAGGACAAUCCGGAGAAGGUAGCAGCUGUGCUGUCUCUUAAAGUCUGACCAGGUAGUCCAGGUGUUCCCUGUGUUUGAGGUCAAGGGGCAGCAGGAGAAGAUGCAACAGAAAAGCACACAGCACGAGCAAAGCCACAUAGCUG
rnacentral:lncRNA from 10 species